rnacentral:lncRNA from 1 species
UUAUUCUCGCUAAUUAUUAAUCCUAAAAGUUUGAACUAUUAGAAAUACAUAACCAAUUCACUUAAAUGGGCAGCGUCCUCACAACACCUAGCUCUAAUCUCUCAACACCUGCACAAAUUUGCAAUAUAUGAAAAUCAAACUCACAACAUCUAGCUCCGAUAUGAUUUGUCGGAUCGUUGGCGCUAACUUUUAAUUCCAAAAGCUUGAGCAAUUAGAAAUAUGAAAUUAGUUCACUUAAAGCAUAUAAACAUAAUAUCCAUAGGUCUCGAUUGUGACCCCGCGAACUAAGCUCACAUCAUUUCGAAUAUGACUUGAUCUAAUUCGGCUUUCUGUCAUUUCAAACGGAUGUGAAUCUAGGAACAAAAUAUUGGGCUAUUUAAGCCAACA